GACGAACGCUGGCGGCGUGCUUAACACAUGCAAGUCGAACGGAAAGGCCUUUUCUGAGGUACUUGAUUGGCUGACGGGUGAGUAACACGUGGGUGAUCUGCCCUGCACUCUGGGUUAAGCCUGUGAAACUGGGUCUAAUACCGGAUAGGACCGCACUUCAGUGUGUGUGGGGGAAAGUUUUUUCGGUGUAGGAUGAGCCUGCGGGCUAUCAUUUUGUUGGUGGGGUAAUGGGCUACCAAGGCGGCGACGGGUAGCCGGACCGGGGGGGUGGUCGGCCACAAUGGGACUGAGGUUAGGCCCAGACUCCUACGGGAGGAAGCAGGGGGGAAUAUUGCACAAUGGGCGCAAGCCUGAUGCAGCGACGCCGCGGGGGGGAAGACGGCCUUCGGGUUGUAAAAUCCCUUCGCCCGGGAAGAAGCGGUUUGUGACGGUAACGGGAGAAGAAGCACCGGCUAACUACGUG
rnacentral:rRNA from 1 species